AGCUUGGAUUCUGGCUCAGAUUGAACGCUAUGGGAUGCUUCUUACACAUGCAAGUCGAACGGCAGCACGGACUUCGGUCUGGUGGCGAGUGGGCGAACGGGGUGAGUAAUGUAUCGGAACGUGCCUAGUAGCGGGGAUAACUACGCGAAAGCGUAGCUAAUACCGCAUAUUGCCCCUUCUCGGGGAAAGCGGGGACCUUCGCCUCGCACUAUUAGAGCGGCCGAUAUCGGAUUAGCUAGUUGGUGGGGUAACGGCUCACCACGACGAUCCGUAGCUGGUUUGAGAGGACGACCAGCCACACUGGGACUGAGACACGGCCCAGACUCCCACGGGAGGCAGCAGUGGGGAAUUUUGGACAAUGGGGAACCCGAUCCAGCCAUCCCGCGUGUGCGAUGAAGGCCUUCGGGUUGUGUGCCACUUUUUGGCAGGAAAAAGAAACGGCACGGGAUAAUACCCUGCAACUGACGGUACCUGCAGAAUAAGCACCGGCUAACUACGUGCCAGCAGCUGCGGUAAUACGUAGGGUGCAAGCGUUAAUCGGAAUUACUGGCGUAAAGCGUGCGCAGGCGGUUCGGAAAGAAAGAUGUGAAAUCCAGAGCUUAACUUUGAACUGCAUUUUUAACUACCGAGCUAGAGUGUGUCAGAGGGAGGUGGAAUUCCGCGUGUAGCAGUGAAAUGCGUAGAUAUGCGGAGGAACACCGAUGGCGAAGGCAGCCUCCUGGGAUAACACUGACGCUCAUGCACGAAAGCGUGGGGAGCAAACAGGACUAGAUACCCUGGUAGUCCACGCCCUAAACGAUGUCAACUAGCUGUUAGCCUUCGGGCCUUGUAGCGCAGCUAACGCGUGAAGUUGACCGCCUGGGGAGUACGGUCGCAAGAUUAAAACUCAAAGGAAUUGACGGGGACCCGCACAAGCGGUGGAUGAUGUGGAUUAAUUCGAUGCAACGCGAAAACCUUACCUACCCUUGACAUGUUCAACCUGAAGAGAUUUGGGAGUGCUCGCAAGAGAACCGGAACACAGGUGCCGUACAUGGCUGUCGCUGCCUGUGUCGAGAUGUUGGGUUAAGUCCCGCAACGAGCGCAACCCUUGUCAUUAGUUGCUACGAAAGGGCACUCAAUGAGACUGCCGGUGACAAACCGGAGGAAGGUGGGGAUGACGUCAAGUCCUCAUGGCCCUUAUGGGUAGGGCUUCACACGUCAUACAAUGGUCGGGACAGAGGGUCGCCAACCUGGGGCGAGGGGGAGCCAAUCCCAGAAACCCGAUCGUAGUAGUCCGGAUCGCAGUCUGCAACUCGACUGCGUGAAGUCGGAAUCGCUAGUAAUCGCGGAUCAGCAUGUCGCGGUGAAUACGUUCCCGGGUCUUGUACACACCGCCCGUCACACCAUGGGAGUGGGUUUUACCAGAAGUAGCUAGCCUAACCGUAAGGAGGGCGAUUACCACGGUAGGAUUCAUGACUGGGUGAAGUCGCACAAGGUAA
rnacentral:rRNA from 1 species